AUUGAACGCUGGCGGCAUGCUUUACACAUGCAAGUCGAACGGCAGCGCGGGGGCAACCCGUGGCGGCGAGUGGCGAACGGGUGAGUAAUGUAUCGGAACGUAUCCUGUAAUGGGGGAUAACCAGUCGAAAGAUUGGGUAAUACCGCAUACGCACGAGAGUGGAAAGUAGGGGAUCGCAAGACCUUACGUUAUAGGAGCGGCCGAUAUCUGAUUAGCUAGUUGGUGGGGUAAAGGCCUACCAAGGCGACGAUCAGUAGCUGGUCUGAGAGGACGACCAGCCACACUGGGACUGAGACACGGCCCAGACUCCUACGGGAGGCAGCAGUGGGGAAUUUUGGACAAUGGGCGAAAGCCUGAUCCAGCCAUGCCGCGUGCAGGAAGAAGGCCUUCGGGUUGUAAACUGCUUUAGUCUAGGAAAAAGGGGUGCGAGGUUAAUACCCUCGUGCUUUGAUGGUACUGGAAGAAUAAGCACCGGCUAACUACGUG
rnacentral:rRNA from 1 species